UACAGAGGGUGCAAGCGUUAAUCGGAAUUACUGGGCGUAAAGCGCGCGUAGGUGGUUGGGUAAGUCGGUUGUGAAAUCCCCGGGCUUAACCUGGGAAUUGCAGUCGAUACUGCUCGGCUAGAGUGUGGAAGAGGGAAGCGGAAUUUCCGGUGUAGCGGUGAAAUGCGUAGAUAUCGGAAGGAACACCAGUGGCGAAGGCGGCUUCCUGGUCCAACACUGACACUGAGGCGCGAAAGCGUGGGUAGCGAACAGG
rnacentral:rRNA from 1 species